rnacentral:lncRNA from 1 species
CUCGUGUUGUUUGCAAACUGCGCCUCUGAAUAUUCUCAUUUUUAUGAUCAGAAAUUCUGUAAGAACCGAAGUAUUAUAAACUAGGAGUUACUAUCGCAAGGAAAAUGCUGCCGAUAUGUACAUGUAGGAUGUGCUACAAAAAGAGCGUUUUUCACUGUAUGUAUGAUUUAUUGUCUUACACAUCGUUGUUCCUCAGUUACC